AGUGUCAGGCACUCAUUUCUGUUCGAACAGAUGCUUAUUACAAUAAUUUUUUUAUCGAUUACUUUUAAAAUUCUUAAUCCGACACCCUCAGAGGGAAUAAGAAAGACAGGAAGAGGAAAUCAAAUCUCAAGGGGGAUCAGAUUUUUUUUUGCACGCCGUGAGCAAUGUGGAAUUAGUCAUUGAGCUGAUAUCUUUUUAUGUCGACGAAAACGAGUGCCGUGCGGAUUCAGCAAGUGGCACAAUGAACCUACUCUGCUUCACUCCAACCAGAAGUUGAAAGUGCGGGGCUGGGGGAGAUUCAAUCCCAAGAAAGCUCUCGAAUUGUUAAAUAUUAAUUAAAACAAUCAGUCAGAUUUUUUUGGACGGUCUGGAACCCUUUGAGUUACUACUGGAGUAAUUUUUUUAUGAGAAUUUUUCAAGAUUUCUACAGAAAUUUCUUAUCCAAUGUCAAUUCUAGUAGUUGAGAGAUGGAACUAAUGGGUUAUUUGAAUUAUUCAUGUUUGGACAAGUAAGGUCAUUUGUGUCUGCAUGCUACAACAAUUCACCAUUCGGUGGAUUCAUACAUAUAAACGGAAACAUAGUAUAACAGCGGGAAGAAAUUAUCAUUAGAACCUAAAUGGUAAAAGACGCCAUAACACUUCCGCCUGUUUUUACUCUAAUUUCCAUACCACUUCAUUCUAUUCAUCCCAAACAUGCUAAUAGGAUUGAACAAAAAACAACAUAAUUAUAAAAUUGUAACUGAGUUUCCCGGAGAUUUCACCGGUAAAAGAAGCUUUUUAUGUUUACACGCAUUAAAUGAUAAUAUGUAAAAAGGCAAUGCACACACGUUUGGUUUCGUUUCGAGGCACAAAAUAAGCGUGUGAAGAUAUGGAUAGGGAUAGGGAUAGGGAUAAAAGAGAUGGUCACAAGGCCUUCUGCACCUCGAACUGAGCAGAUCUAGUGGGCUGCUCUAGUUCUAUUAUUUACUGGCCUGAUCAGGUUGUUAAUCAAGCCUUGCUUCAAGGAUGCAAAGGAUGCUUCAAUACAUUUUAACCUUAAAGGUCUAAGGUGAGUUUU